AAAGGUAAGCUACUAAGAGCGAAUGGUGGAUGCCUUGACUGGUAAAGGCGAUGAAGGACGUACUAGACUGCGAUAAGCUACGGGGAGCUGUCAAGAAGCUUUGAUCCGUAGAUUUCCGAAUGGGGCAACCCAAUGUAUAGAGAUAUACAUUACCUAUAUAGGAGCGAACGAGGGGAAUUGAAACAUCUUAGUACUCUCAGGAAAAGAAAUCAAUAGAGAUUGCGUCAGUAGCGGCGAGCGAAAGCGCAAGAGGGCAAACCCAGUGCUUGCACUGGGGGUUGUAGGACUGCAAUGUGCAAGAGGUAAGUUUAGCAGAACAUUCUGGAAAGUAUAACCAUAGAGGGUGAUAGUCCCGUAUGCGAAAAACAAACCUUAGCUAGCAGUAUCCUGAGUAGGGCGGGACACGAGGAAUCCUGUCUGAAUCCGGGUCGACCACGAUCCAACCCUAAAUACUAAUACCAGAUCGAUAGUGCACAAGUACCGUGAGGGAAAGGUGAAAAGAACUGAGGUGAUCAGAGU
rnacentral:rRNA from 1 species